rnacentral:rRNA from 1 species
UACAGAGGGUGCGAGCGUUAAUCGGAAUUACUGGGCGUAAAGCGCGCGUAGACGGUUUUGUAAGUCAGAUGUGAAAUCCCUGGGCUCAACCUGGGAACUGCAUUUGAGACUGCAUGGCUAGAGUAUGGAAGAGGGAAGUGGAAUUUCCGGUGUAGCGGUGGAAUGCGUAGAGAUCGGGAAGAACAUCGGUGGCGAAGGCGGCUGCCUGGCCCAAUACUGACACUCAGGUGCGACAGCGUGGGGAGCAAACAGG